UUGUUCAUCUAAGGAGCUCUAAAUAUUUACUAAAAAAAUAAUUAAGAUGGAAAGGAAUCAAAAGGGUUUGUUUGUUGUCACUAUAAAAGAAGGCUCCUAAAACAACGUGACCGCUCCACUCCUCUCUGCCUUUCACUUCACUUCUCUAUUUCUCUCCGCCAGCUAUGGCUCCUUCUUCAUCACCUCUUCGUACUACAAGGCACUGAGAUGAAAACAGUGAAGCGGAUGAGAAGUAUGCGAAUGUGAAAUGGGAAGAGCUUGGAUUUGCUCUGACUCCAACAGAUUACAUGUAUGUAGCCAAAUGCAGACAAGGUGAGCGCUUUUCACAAGGAAAGAUCCUUCCUUAUGGGGAUAUUUCAAUCAGCCCUUGUUCUGCUAUUCUCAAUUAUGGCCAGCAGGUGUAGCAGUUUUGUUUGCAGACUCAUUGAGUGAAGGAGAAUUAAAAAUAAAAGAUGACAGCAGCGGAUCAGGUUAAAGAAGUGAAACUUGUAGAAGCACCAAGAAGAGACUGUAAGUUUGCUUCCCGGAAUUCCUUUUUCAAGGCGAGAUAAGUAGAGCUAUAUCCUCCUCUUCACAACCUUCUCUUUCGCUGAACGUAAAAACCUCUCAUCAAGGAAUUAAAAAAAUCCACUCUUAAGUUGUACCAAAUGAUUAUUAUAUGUACUAUAGAGAACCAAGAUAAUAAACAGAUUUAACCAUCAGAUAUUGAAAGUUGAAAGGAUAUCUUAAAAAAAUUGGCAUGUUGCGUCGUAAUAUGGCCAACGAUAUUCAAUCCCACCCUCUUAGUGCAUACAGGACAGAC